UACGUAGGGUGCGAGCGUUGUCCGGAAUUAUUGGGCGUAAAGAGCUCGUAGGCGGUCUGUUACGUCGGGAGUGAAAACUCGGGGCUCAACCCCGGAACUGCAUUGGAUACUGCCUUGCUUGAGUACUGGAGAGGGAACUGGAAUUUACGGUGUAGCAGUGAAAUGCGUAGAGAUCGUAAGGAAGGCCAGUGGCGAAGGCGAGUUCCUGGACAGUUACUGACGCUGAGGCACGAAGGCCAGGGGAGCAAACGGG
rnacentral:rRNA from 1 species